rnacentral:pre_miRNA from 1 species
UAUAAGGGAUUUUGAGUUUUUGCUUAUAACGUUUGACUACUCGUCUUAUUCAAAAUUUUUUGAAAUUAUUAUUUAUUUUAUUUGUGACUUACUUUAUUAUCUACAGUACUUUAAGCACAACUUUUUGUUUUUAUAUUUGCAAAAAGAAUUUGAAUAAGACGAGUGGUCAAACGUUGCAAGCAAAAACUCAAAAUCCCUUAUA